UACGGAGGGGACUAGCGUUGUUCGGAAUUACUGGGCGUAAAGCGUGCGCAGGCGGUUGUGCAAGACAGAUGUGAAAUCCCCGGGCUUAACCUGGGAAUUGCAUUUGUGACUGCACGGCUAGAGUGUGUCAGAGGGGGGUAGAAUUCCACGUGUAGCAGUGAAAUGCGUAGAUAUGUGGAGGAAUACCGAUGGCGAAGGCAGCCCCCUGGGAUAACACUGACGCUCAUGCACGAAAGCGUGGGGAGCAAACAGG
rnacentral:rRNA from 1 species